rnacentral:rRNA from 1 species
GGUCAGGAUGAACGCUAGCUACAGGCUAACACAUGCAAGUCGAGGGCAGCGGGAAGUAGCUUGCUAACUUGCCGGCGACCGGCGCACGGGUGAGUAACGCGUAUCCAACCUUCCCUAGUAGGGCAUAGCCCGGCGAAAGUCGGAUUAAUACCCUAUGCUAUCCGAAGAUGGCAUCUGAAUUGGAUUAAAGAUUUAUCGCUAAGGGAUGGGGAUGCGUCUGAUUAGGUAGAUGGCGGGGUAACGGCCCACCAUGCCAGCGAUCAGUAGGGGUUCUGAGAGGAAGGUCCCCCCACAUUGGUACUGAGACACGGACCAAACUCCUACGGGAGGCAGCAGUGAGGAAUAUUGGUCAAUGGGCGAGAGCCUGAACCAGCCAAGUAGCGUGCAGGAAGACGGCCCUAUGGGUUGUAAACUGCUUUUGCAGGGGAAUAAAGUGAGGCACGUGUGCCUUUUUGUAUGUACCCUGAGAAUAAGGACCGGCUAAUUCCGUGCCAGCCGCAGC